AUUCUAGAUUUUUCCUGCAUGAGUCAUCAGUCAUCACUUUGUUAGCCAUUGAAUCGUACUUCGGUGUCUGAUUCAAUCCCUAAUUUCCUAUUAUGCAUUAAUAGUCUAAUGUAAAAAUCGCAUUGUUUAUGAAAAAGAAAAAAUAUUGACUAAUCGUGUUUUCGUUAACAUUUUCAAAAGUCUCAAAAUAACCCGUCAGAGAUGUUACCCAGUAUUUUGACGUAUUCUGUUGAUCCAUGAUGGCUGCCGUUUAACGAUUAUUGGCUCGCUGAAUUCCGGCUGAUUUCAUUUGGCUGUGUGCAAGAAUGAAAUACUGAAAUGCAUACAUAUUCAGUUUGUAAAUGGCUGUUGCCCUGCAACUGUGUUUUCAUCGUUUUAAUGUAGCUUAUCCCUGCAACUGCGUUUUCAUCGUUUUAAUAUAGCUUAUCCCUGCCAACUGUUUUAUUAACGUAUACGCCAAGAAGUCCGACAACCUUAAAUGAUUCCCCUGCUUGACAUCUGAAGUCACAGCUGAGAUGUGUUGCCAAGGUAUCUCUUUGAAGUAAGCUACCUUUCUAGUUUCACACUUGUAGGCAAUAGUUUUCUACACCGAUUACUACAUACUAUUUACAUUUAGGGCUGAAGCAGUGCACGACAGUCGCACGUCGGUAACGUUCGAUUGAUUGCUGGGCUCUUGUAUCUGUCACGUUGUAUAUUUCCAAGGGCCCUUCCGGCCGCUCAGGAACUUCCAUGACUUCAACAAUAUCUGCAUCGACCACAACGUCAUUUUUCGAUGAAUGCAAAGGAAGAAAGCACUUCAUUUCAGCCGUAUCGACCUUUGCUGAUAUACAAUUACACAAGCCAUAUCCACCAACUGCUAAACGAUCCGUCAGCGGGGGUAGGCAAGUUUUUGCAUUCAAUGCUCUCUUUGUACAUCACAAAGUGUUUUUGUGCGAUUGAUGGGCGUAACUCAAAAGUGCGUCUCAGAGACUGGUUAAAAUAGUUUUACAAAGGCUCUCUAUGUUAAAAAGGCGGCAAUGAAAACAAUCUAUUUUGUUGAACGUGUCAAAGGCUCGUUCGGGGGGAGAGGUUAUUAUUUUUUAUUUUUACAAAGAUGAUUAAAAGUCAGUACAGUCUCUAUUCGCACUUUUGGCUUGCCCAGCAUCUUCUCUCCGUUUUCAAAAUAGUAGGUUGUAUUAAAUGUAAGAAAAAAAAUGGUGGUAAGAAUCAAUAGCAUUUGUUUUGAUGAAGUGGCAAACGAAACGUUUAUUUAAAGGCAAAGAACCCCAGCUUUCCUUAAAUUGUCCACAAUUAUUUUGAGGGGGGGUGAUAAACUGUUUGAUAUAGGAGGGGGGGUCAAUAAAACUCAAUAUAUAUGUAUACAUAUACGUCUAAGCACCAAAGCAAAUCAGAAAGGAGAAGAAAAAUGAAAUAAAACGUAAGACAGCGAAGCAUAUUCCACAUUUUUUUUUGCCGAUUUUUUUUUUUUUGCAUAUUGUUAUUGUUUGUCGAUUAUGUGAGGUGGGAGAUAACAUCACAGAUGGUUUUUUUUCAUAUUUUUUUUUAAUGUUUGUUUUAUAUAUUCAUUGGUUGGCUAGUAACAAGCUAGAAAAUAAAAGUGUGCGCGUUCAAUCACAGCGAUGUUUACAUAUGGUACCCGUAAUGGAAAAGAUUUUUUUUUUCUAACAAAAGAAGGAGAAAGAUGGAGAAAGAGAUCACGCUCCACUGGGAGGCUUUGCACUGGGUGGACACACGAUAUCGACCAGAAGGAGAGAGACGCAAAUCUCUCCUUCUUUCUCCCACUUUUUUUUUUUUUUAACUUUCCAU
rnacentral:lncRNA from 1 species